AUGCACUGCCGAAGCAUCGCAACAACUCACAUGCCCUCGGAGAUGAAGAGUGCGCUGCCCGUCUCCUCCGCUCACCCUGCCAACUCGCGCCGGCUUCCCUGCAUCACCGGCGGCUUGCGCUCUCCGAACCCAGGCGAGGACACGGCCGCGCCGGGAUAUGCUGAGAACCAGCGAGGCGUAGUCAGCCGUAGUGCUGCUGCAAAUGCGAACAAAGUAUGCGCCUUCCCAAGCCAGGACACGGACACGGACACGGACACGGCCACCACCGUGGAGGUCCAAGGAAGCAGCAGAUGGAAACCGGCUCUGUGCGUGAUUCUUGUGGAGCUGUUCAACACAGGGACUAUACUUCUAGGCAAGGUCGCACUUGAUGGUGGCAUGUUUGUCUUCUCCUUGCUAUGUUAUCGAAGUAUUCUGGCCGCUAUUUUCAUCAUGCCGUUUGCUCUAUUCUUCGAAAGUGGGAAGUGGAGGGAAUUGGAUAUGAAGACUCUUGGGUGGCUCUUCAUCAAUGCUUUUAUCGGAUAUUCGUUGCCCAUGGCUUUGUACUACUAUGGAUUACGGGACACACCUGCCUCCUAUGCUGUGAUCUUCUCAAGUUUGACUCCACUUUUCACCUUUAUCUUGUCCAUAAUUCUUGGCAUGGAGAAGUUGCGCGUAAAGUCCAAGGACGGCAGUGCGAAAGUGAUUGGAGCAUUGGUUUGUUUUGGUGGGGCUCUACUAAUAAGUCUUUACAAAGGAAAAGAGUUGCAUCUCUGGUCUCCAAUUAUAAGAGUGACCCCAAAAGAUUCUAAUGGAGCUGCUGGAAAGCAUCAUUUGAGGGGCACCUUGAUUUUGUUUGGUGCUUUCAGCAGCUAUGCACUUUGGUACCCUAUACAGGUGAAAGUUUUGAAGGUGUAUCCAUGGAAACAUUGGUCCUCUGUGCUGACCUGUGUUCUGGGUGGUGUGCAAACUUUCGCCAUCGGAAUAAUUAUGAGCAGGCACAAACUUGCCUGGCAAAUAGGAUGGAACAUUCAACUACUAACCAUUGUCUACUCAGCUGCACUUGGCACAGCGGCCAAGUAUUGGCUGAACUUAUAUGCUGUUGAAAAGCGGGGGCCAGUUUUUCCAGCCAUGUUCAGCACCUUAUCGACGAUCUUCAUCAUAGUUCUAGGAACGCUGUUGCUAGGAGAAAGCCUCACAGUUGGGAGCUUGAUGGGUAGUGCUCUAGUUAUAGGAGGUCUAUACAUAUACCUCUAUGGAAAGGCCAAUGAACAACACGCGAAGACGGCAUCGGUUACAGGGAUGCAAAAGGAGGAGGACAAAGAGAUUCAGCGGUCUGGUGUUGGUGUGACGACUGAGGAGAGGCCACACCCUGUGCUGUUAGAGAGCUCCGUUAUCCAGCUUGACGAGGAGCUGGACGCAGGGGUCUCCAAGUGA
rnacentral:rRNA from 1 species